rnacentral:misc_RNA from 1 species
GAGAAGAACGCAGUGAAAUGCGAUAAGUAGUGUGAAUUGCAGAAUUCAGUGAAUCAUCGAAUCUUUGAACGCACAUUGCGCCCCUUGGUAUUCCAUGGGGCAUGCCUGUUCGAGCGUCAUUUGUACCUUCAAGCUUUGCUUGGUGUUGGGUGUUUGUCCCUCGGGACUCGCCUUAAAGUCAUUGGCAGCCAGUGUUUUGGUUUUGAAGCGCAGCACAAGUCGCGAUUCAAGGCUAUCCGCCCGCUUCCACAAGCCUUUUUCACUUUUGACCUCGGAUCAGGUAGGGAUACCCGCUGAACUUAAGCAUAUCAAUAAGCGGAGGA